GUAGAGCACUGUUUGGACGAGGGGCCCCUCUCGGGUUACCGAAUUCAGACAAACUCCGAAUGCCAAUUAAUUUAACUUGGGAGUCAGAACAUGGGUGAUAAGGUCCGUGUUCGAAAGGGAAACAGCCCAGACCACCAGCUAAGGUCCCAAAAUAUAUGUUAAGUGGAAAAGGAUGUGGCGUUGCCCAGACAACUAGGAUGUUGGCUUAGAAGCAGCCAUCAUUUAAAGAGUGCGUAAUAGCUCACUAGUCGAGUGACACUGCGCCGAAAAUGUACCGGGGCUAAACAUAUUACCGAAGCUGUGGAUUGUCCUUUGGACAAUGGUAGGAGAGCGUUCUAAGGGCGUUGAAGCAUGAUCGUAAGGACAUGUGGAGCGCUUAGAAGUGAGAAUGCCGGUGUGAGUAGCGAAAGACGGGUGAGAAUCCCGUCCACCGAUUGACUAAGGUUUCCAGAGGAAGGCUCGUCCGCUCUGGGUUAGUCGGGUCCUAAGCUGAGGCCGACAGGCGUAGGCGAUGGAUAACAGGUUGAUAUUCCUGUACCACCUAUAAUCGUUUUAAUCGAUGGGGGGACGCAGUAGGAUAGGCGAAGCGUGCGAUUGGAUUGCACGUCUAAGCAGUAAGGCUGAGUAUUAGGCAAAUCCGGUACUCGUUAAGGCUGAGCUGUGAUGGGGAGAAGACAUUGUGUCUUCGAGUCGUUGAUUUCACACUGCCGAGAAAAGCCUCUAGAUAGAAAAUAGGUGCCCGUACCGCAAACCGACACAGGUAGUCAAGAUGAGAAUUCUAAGGUGAGCGAGCGAACUCUCGUUAAGGAACUCGGCAAAAUGACCCCGUAACUUCGGGAGAAGGGGUGCUCUUUAGGGUUAACGCCCAGAAGAGCCGCAGUGAAUAGGCCCAAGCGACUGUUUAUCAAAAACACAGGUCUCUGCUAAACCGUAAGGUGAUGUAUAGGGGCUGACGCCUGCCCGGUGCUGGAAGGUUAAGAGGAGUGGUUAGCUUCUGCGAAGCUACGAAUCGAAGCCCCAGUAAACGGCGGCCGUAACUAUAACGGUCCUAAGGUAGCGAAAUUCCUUGUCGGGUAAGUUCCGACCCGCACGAAAGGCGUAACGAUUUGGGCACUGUCUCAACGAGAGACUCGGUGAAAUCAUAGUACCUGUGAAGAUGCAGGUUACCCGCGACAGGACGGAAAGACCCCGUGGAGCUUUACUGUAGCCUGAUAUUGAAAUUCGGCACAGCUUGUACAGGAUAGGUAGGAGCCUUUGAAACGUGAGCGCUAGCUUACGUGGAGGCGCUGGUGGGAUACUACCCUAGCUGUGUUGGCUUUCUAACCCGCACCACUUAUCGUGGUGGGAGACAGUGUCAGGCGGGCAGUUUGACUGGGGCGGUCGCCUCCUAAAAGGUAACGGAGGCGCUCAAAGGUUCCCUCAGAAUGGUUGGAAAUCAUUCAUAGAGUGUAAAGGCAUAAGGGAGCUUGACUGCGAGACCUACAAGUCGAGCAGGGUCGAAAGACGGACUUAGUGAUCCGGUGGUUCCGCAUGGAAGGGCCAUCGCUCAACGGAUAAAAGCUACCCCGGGGAUAACAGGCUUAUCUCCCCCAAGAGUUCACAUCGACGGGGAGGUUUGGCACCUCGAUGUCGGCUCAUCGCAUCCUGGGGCUGUAGUCGGUCCCAAGGGUUGGGCUGUUCGCCCAUUAAAGCGGUACGCGAGCUGGGUUCAGAACGUCGUGAGACAGUUCGGUCCCUAUCCGUCGUGGGCGUAGGAAAUUUGAGAGGAGCUGUCCUUAGUACGAGAGGACCGGGAUGGACAUACCUCUGGUGUACCAGUUGUCGUGCCAACGGCAUAGCUGGGUAGCUAUGUGUGGACGGGAUAAGUGCUGAAAGCAUCUAAGCAUGAAGCCCCCCUCAAGAUGAGAUUUCCCAACUUCGGUUAUAAGAUCCCUCAAAGAUGAUGAGGUUAAUAGGUUCGAGGUGGAAGCAUGGUGACAUGUGGAGCUGACGAAUACUAAUCGAUCGAAGACUUAAUCAA
rnacentral:rRNA from 1 species